AGAGCCAGCACCAGAGAUGGCCAGUUCCGAGAGAAAUGGUAUGGAGUUGGUAAUGGAGAUGCAAGUCAGGCUUGGCAUUUGUGAGAAUCUUGUAGCCUUGACUGAUCGGUAUUCAGAAUGCUUCUUUAUUCAUACAGACCCCUCAUACUGAACAAGCUGAAAAGUGCUCCUAAAUCAGCUAAUUCAUAAAGAUGCAUGGUGACAGUGAAUGUGAGAAGUAAGCCACAACUUAAUCAAGCACGAAGAGAACCUAGUUCUUCCACACAUCCUCCCUCCAGUUCACAUCUGAGAGAGUGCACUUCCUGGGUAUCCACCCACCCUCUGGGAAUCAAAUCUCUACAGGGUUACAUGUAUCAUCUCCCACUGAGGACAAACAAG